rnacentral:rRNA from 1 species
CGCCCAACAGCUAGCCCCUCCAACCAAAAUCAACAAAUCCCCAUCAAUAACCCCUAAUACCCCAAACCCACCCAUAAACAAAUCAUUUUUCCCCCUUAGUACAGGCGAUAGAAAAGGAA